UCCCACCUCCAUCUCGAAACAACAUGUUCAGUAGGUGCUGAGAGCCUUAGCAACAGCACAGGUGACACCCACAGACUACUUGCAUUGAGUGCGAAUACACAGUGGCUAAAAAGAAACAGGGAGCGCUGGCAUCAGACAGAGAGACAGAGAGCGGGAGCUGGAGUCGUACGACAAAGUUCCUCAGGAAAAGUUGCAGGGAGGGCAAACAGGAUGAAGCCCAGAUGUCUUCUCUCCACAGUUGACAUCCUGCCCACCAUCAGCGAGAUGCAGGAGAGUGACCAAGAGGACGGGGACCUCGACUGUCCCACCCACACCAUGCAGGAAUAUGUGGACUCCAUCAAAGAGCUCUCCCAGCCUUCUCCCUACCCUCGCCACGGCCCCCUCAGAGGUCACCGCCGAUGGAUGACACGCUCACCACCCCGUGUCAUCGGAGGAUGCCUCGUAGCUCUACCCUCUUCUCCGACAUCAUUCAUCUAUUCCUCCAGGACCUGCAUGCCGUGGACCCCUAUUGGCCUAUCAGAUGUGUCUCUUACUGUAGUGCGCCAAUCAAAUUGGGAGACAUCAUUGCAUUAUAAUCACAGCCUGCUGGACAGGAUGAUUGCACAGUCUCUUUUUGCGGGGCUGAUUUGAACAAGUGCCCAGAUCAGCAACGGAACAGAUUAUCUUAUAAGAACACAAGACCGGAUUAUUCAAUUAUCCCCAGUGCGGAGGUUUGACAUCAGCUCCAUGAUUUACUUAUGUGCAAGAGUUAAUUCAGGCCAGCCACUUUGAGAAAGUGGCAUGCAUUCCCAAGACUUUGAGGCCUUGAAAAUGAGUUGAACAUCUGCAAUAAAAAGGGGGGAAAAUGAGGACACAAUAAUAAGGGCAGCAGGAACAAAUGAGGGAGAAUGUGGCAAGAUGAAUCAACCUACGCUGAAAAGCACCUUAAUGCAUGCAUGACUGACUGAGAAUGCAUCUGUCAUCUUUCAUAAAGAUGACUUUUACUGUAAAACAGUUAUCCAUCUUUAACAUUGUUUUGUGCAAUUUCAAAUUAAACAUAUGCGUCAAUAAACACGCAACAGCUCAA